ACGAACGCUGGCGGCGCGCCUAACACAUGCAAGUCGAACGGAGCUUAGAGAGCUUGCUUUUUAAGCUUAGUGGCGAACGGGUGAGUAACGCGUGAGUAACCUGCCCUAGAGUGGGGGACAACAGUUGGAAACGACUGCUAAUACCGCAUAAGCCCACGGUACCGCAUGGCACUGAGGGAAAAGGAUUUAUUCGCUUUAGGAUGGACUCGCGUCCAAUUAGCUAGUUGGUGAGGUAACGGCCCACCAAGGCGACGAUUGGUAGCCGGACUGAGAGGUUGAACGGCCACAUUGGGACUGAGACACGGCCCAGACUCCUACGGGAGGCAGCAGUGGGGGAUAUUGCACAAUGGGGGAAACCCUGAUGCAGCGACGCCGCGUGGAGGAAGAAGGUUUUCGGAUUGUAAACUCCUGUCGUUAGGGACGAUAAUGACGGUACCUAACAAGAAAGCACCGGCUAACUACGUGCCAGCAGCCGCGGUAAAACGUAGGGUGCAAGCGUUGUCCGGAAUUACUGGGUGUAAAGGGAGCGCAGGCGGGAAGACAAGUUGGAAGUGAAAACCAUGGGCUCAACCCAUGAAUUGCUUUCAAAACUGUUUUUCUUGAGUAGUGCAGAGGUAGAUGGAAUUCCCGGUGUAGCGGUGGAAUGCGUAGAUAUCGGGAGGAACACCAGUGGCGAAGGCGGUCUACUGGGCACCAACUGACGCUGAGGCUCGAAAGCAUGGGUAGCAAACAGGAUUAGAUACCCUGGUAGUCCAUGCCGUAAACGAUGAUUACUAGGUGUUGGGGGAUUGACCCCCUCAGUGCCGCAGUUAACACAAUAAGUAAUCCACCUGGGGAGUACGACCGCAAGGUUGAAACUCAAAGGAAUUGACGGGGGCCCGCACAAGCGGAGGAACAUGUGGUUUAAUUCGAUGAUACGCGAGGAACCUUACCCGGGCUUGAAAGUUACUGACGAUUCUGGAAACAGGAUUUCCCUUCGGGGCAGGAAACUAGGUGCUGCAUGGUUGUCGUCAGCUCGUGUCGUGAGAUGUUGGGUUAAGUCCCGCAACGAGCGCAACCCUUAUUGCCAGUUACUACGUUAAGAGGACUCUGGCGAGACUGCCGUUGACAAAACGGAGGAAGGUGGGGAUGACGUCAAAUCAUCAUGCCCUUUAUGACCUGGGCUACACACGUACUACAAUGGCGUUAAACAAAGAGAAGCAAGACCGCGAGGUGGAGCAAAACUCAAAAACAACGUCUCAGUUCAGAUUGCAGGCUGCAACUCGCCUGCAUGAAGUCGGAAUUGCUAGUAAUCGCGGAUCAGCAUGCCGCGGUGAAUACGUUCCCGGGCCUUGUACACACCGCCCGUCACACCAUGAGAGCCGGGGGGACCCGAAGUCGAUAGUCUAACCGCAAGGAGGACGUCGCCGAAGGUAAAACUGGUGAUUGGGGUG
rnacentral:rRNA from 1 species